rnacentral:lncRNA from 1 species
GGCGUGUCCCCACCUGCCUCACAGCCGCCUACGCAUCUCACGGCGGGGGUCUAAUUGCGUGCGCGUAUGGAUGCUCCUUUCCCCGCCGCCUUUCUAACAACUAGAAAUGUUAUGAUGCAUCGUUGGUCCGGCGUACGACGGCGCCUGAUGCGAUUUAUGCGUCCGGAAGCCCUUUCAGCCUCCAGGCGUGUCCCCACCUGCCUCACAGCCGCCUACGCAUCGCACGGCGGGGGUCUAAUUGCGUGCGCGUAUGGAUGCUCCUUUCCCCGCCGCCUUUCUAACAACUAGAAAUGUUAUGAUGCAUCGUUGGUCCGGCGUACGACGGCGCCUGGUGCGAUUUAUGCGUCCGGAAGCCCUUUCAGCCUCCAGGCGUGUCCCCACCUGCCUCACAGCCACCGACGCAUCUCACGGCGGGGGUCUAAUUGCGUGCGCGUAAGGAUGCUCCUAUUCCCCGCCGCCUUUCUAACAACUAGAAAUGUUAUGAUGCAUCGUUGGUCCGGCGUACGACGGCGCCUGGUGCGAUUUAUGCGUCCGGAAGCCCUUUCAGCCUCCAGGCGUGUCCCCACCUGCCUCACAGCCACCGACGCAUCUCACGGCGGGGGUCUAAUUGCGUGCGCGUAAGGAUGCUCCUAUUCCUGCCGCCUUUCUAGCAACUAGUUACUGUUAUGAUGCAUCGUUGGUCCGGCGUACGACGGCGCCUGGUGCGAUUUAUGCGUCCGGAAGCCCUUUCAGCCUCAUAGGCAUGUCCCCACCUGCCUCACAGCCGCCGACGCAUCUCACGGCGGGGGUCUAAUUGCGUGCGCGGUCGCAUGCGGCAUGUCCCGCCACCUUUCUGGCAUCUAGUUGAUGGUAUGAUGAAUCGUUGUGCGGUGUAGGGCUGCGCCUGAUGCGAUUUCGUUUGCGGAAGGGCCCCCUGAGUGCUGCCAAACAUGUUAUUCUCUCAUGAGACUGCGUGAAGGUUUACGAACUGAGUAUGCGACCAACACAUAAAACAUCGCAUGCGAAAUGUUAUGUCAUGCGAUUCAUCAAAGGUAAAUCGUGUGUGCUUGUUGUGUGUUAGCUUAGGCCGCAGUAAGCUUGACGCAACGAGCCUUCAUACGCUUGAAACGCAACAUUUGUUUGCAUGCGAAUUGCGUUGCGAUAUGUGUGCGUUUGGUAAGUGUUAGGCUGCGUUAAGCUUUACGCAAUGAGCCUUUAUACGCAUGAAACGCAGCAUGUAUUAGCUUGCGAAAUGCGUGGCGACAUGUGUGCGUUUGGCGAGUGUUAGGCCGCGUUAAGCUUUACGCUAUGAGCCUUUAUACGCAUGAAACGCAGCAUGUAUUAGAUGCGAAAUGCGUUGUGAAAUGUGUGCGUAAGGUGAGUGUUAGGCCGCGUUAAGCUUUACGCAAUCAGCCUUCAUACGCAUGAUACGCAACAUGCAUUCGCGUGCAAAUAGCCUUGCGGACUGUGUGCGUUUGAUGUGCGAGUGGACGCGA